GACGAACGCUGGCGGCGUGCUUAACACAUGCAAGUCGAACGCUGAAGACCUGGCUUUUGUUGGGUUGGAUGAGUGGCGAACGGGUGAGUAACACGUGAGUAACCUGCCCUCUUCUUUGGGAUAACGCCCGGAAACGGGUGCUAAUACUGGAUAUUCACUGAUCUUCGCAUGGGGGUUGGUGGAAAGGUUUGUUCUGGUGGGGGAUGGACUCGCGGCCUAUCAGCUUGUUGGUGGGGUGAUGGCCUACCAAGGCUUUGACGGGUAGCCGGCCUGAGAGGGUGACCGGUCACAUUGGGACUGAGAUACGGCCCAGACUCCUACGGGAGGCAGCAGUGGGGAAUAUUGCACAAUGGGCGAAAGCCUGAUGCAGCGACGCCGCGUGAGGGAUGGAGGCCUUCGGGUUGUAAACCUCUUUCGCUCAUGGUCAAGCCGCAACUGUGGGUUGUGGUGAGGGUAGUGGGUAAAGAAGCGCCGGCUAACUACGUG
rnacentral:rRNA from 1 species